UGUGACCGUCGUCGAGGUUGACGACGAAGAAGAAUGAGCGCGACCCAUGGGCAGGGUCUGUAAAUUUGUUCUGUCUGUACUAAAGUCUCUGUUGCUCCGCUGGACCAGGCUUGUAAUAACACUCUACUAUUUGGAAGAACUCCUUUUAUAAAUUAAGUUAUGUAAUACUUCCGCUGUUUCACUCUGAAAGGUUAUUUUGGUCUUGUGUCGUUGAGUUACUGCUUUAUCUUCGCAACGAAUGAUCCUGGUGUUAAGGUGGCCACUUGCUAUCCUGUAAGGGCGAGAAGAAGCAGUUCUCGUUGUUUGACCAUUACCAGUGGUCAGGACGAGCCAGCUUGGUACGCCACAGGUAACAGUGGAAUGAGCGCCC
rnacentral:lncRNA from 1 species